AAGGAGAAACCCGCGACCGAUCGCUAGAGGCAGCCAGGCCUGAAUCUGGCAGCACCGCACGCUGUAACUGGCUUGGCUGGUUGCUUUGUGUGCGUGUGUGUGUGUGUGUGUGCGUGUGUGUGUGUGUGUGUGCGUGUGUGUGCGUGUGUGUGCGUGCUUCUCGUGGGUGAGUGGGUGCUGUCGGUGACUUUCCCUCUCAGCUCCGCUCGCAGGAAAUGAGCAAAACUCCCGUCUGCUCCGAGUGCUUUUCAGUACAAGACCAAAAAGGUUUAAUCGUUAUCUGGCUGAGUUCCAGGAUUAAGUGUGUGGGGUUAUAGAAAUCAUUUGAUACUUUGAACCUGGCAAAAGCUGGUGAUGAUUUGGGUCGAGUUACUGCCAAGAACACCCGAAUCACGCACUGGUGUUUUAUAAACAUCAACAGAGCCAUCUGCAACCUUUGGUCCAGGCUGAGAACUCGAAAGCCGAAGGGAGUCUCCUCACAAGCAGGAGGUUGUGCAACGCAUUCUGUGAAACUCAUAAAAAUCUCUGGCCUGUACCUAGUUUAUCAUAAAGGUGGCCACUACGGGACGGGGAACGACAGCGAGACUGCGGGAGCAGGUUUGAGCACUCUGCAUGCCUGCCAAGAUUUCAAAGGGAAAACAACAGGCAGGCUUUUCCAACUUCUGCCAGCUCCAACUCUAUCAGGCAGAAGCGAUGGACGAAGGUGCUGCAGCUGCUACAAACUAAUUUUCAGCCAGGCUGGGUCUUCCCAAAUUGCAGUAUGUUCAGUAGAUUGAAGAAGAACAUUGCUGGAGUGUCCUGUCCAGCUGGGAGCUGCUGUCGUCGUCAGCGGUGGCACGUAACCAAGAUACAUUUGGGAACACUUGAAGCAAGCAAUGAAUCACGAGCUGUCAUGUAUAAUUAUAUGUCACUGGAUAACGUAAUGUUGGUGUUGGAGUGCAUGUGGGCUAGUAAACCUUUGCUGGAAUGGAUGGACUGUAACAAGACUACAAGGUCUGAGACCAACUUCUUCUCCUGUUGAAGUUUUCAGAGUAAGGCUGGAGGUGUCCCAGCGGAGCGCGCUGCUCUUGCCAACACACAAGUCAUUACUGAAUGGAAGGAGGAGCAUGAAUUUUUAUAGCCUGUGCUAUGAAGGAAGUAAAACUAGAAGACCUAAUAGUCCUUUCUGGGUUUCAAAUCCAUGAAAACAUAAGUGGUGUGAUAAGACCCUCCCUGCUAACAGCAAAGCCUUUUCCCUUUGGUUCAAAUGCCAGCAAUCAAUUGCUACUUGCUGGCUGUAAUGCAUUGUUUACCUGUCUCUAGAGGCAACUGAUGUAUUAUUGUGCUUUGUUAAUUUUCUUUUCUUUUCAUAAUGUCCCAUAUUUUUUUCCUGAAUUGUUUCUUUUAUAGCUUUACUAAGUGCUGCCUCUUCUGGGAAAUAAGUCUGUGUUUGAGGCUCAGCCCUUCAAGGUGCUGAGAGCUCUGGACCUUCUCCAAGAAAGCUCUUAAGAGAACGGUCAUCUUUAGGUGUACGAGUAGCCUGGCCUAAGAAGCACUGUGUUUUUAGAUGGAGCCUCCGCAGCAUAGUGGCCACUUUGCCAGAAAUCAGAUUUAAACAUAUAUACUGUCAUUACUUUGACAUUUAUCUAUUGAAAGCUCCUUUAGAGCAUCCCUGAAGUAUUAAGAGACCCAUGGAGCUCUUGUUAUUAACACACGAUUGAUUAGCUGUAACUCUGAAGUUGUCUAGGGAAAAAAAAAAAAAGAGAGAGAGAGAGAGAACAAAAAGUCCUGUUAGAUAGUUCAAUAUUCAGAUUUUUUCUUAAGGAAAAAUUAAAAGCUGAGACUUUGGGUGUUUAUCUCCUUUUAGACAUCCACAAAAAUCCUCAUUGCAGCUGAGAGAUAAAAAAGAUAUAACAAGAACAAGAAAAGGGGAAUAAAGAAUGUUUGAAAAGAAACAGCAGAGCCUGGACUGAUGUAUUUGAGCAAGAGCUGAUGUUAGGAAUUUCCAUGUAGAAUAAGCAAAAUAAAAUGUCAUCUCAUGGUUUAAAUACUGCCAGAUGAUUCAAUAUACUUUUCACAGCAUUCUUUUGCCAUGUGAUAUUCUCUUAUGUUUGUUGAAGUCAGGAAAUGAGAAACUGCUUGAAAGGGAAAGGUUAGGCCUCGUGUCAUUGUAUAAUAUAUGCCCACAAGCCUAUUAUAUUAACAGAGCUGCUUAAGAUAAUUCCAAAUGGAAGAUGGAGUUCAUUUCUAUCACAGUAUAUUCUCACUGUGAUCUGCUAACAGAAAUCAGUGUAUCAUACACUUGUUAAAUUAAGGUUCAUGAGGAAUAGAGCCAAUGAGGACAUCGUAUUUUUUUCUUGGGAAAGUCGACAUUUGAACGAAAGUUUUUAGCUUGAAUCAAGAUGAAAAAUCAAACUGUUACACAUGUUCAUUCCAACCAUCUAUUAAAUAAGACAUAAAAUGUUGGUUUGAGUAAAUUAAAACAUUGUAUGUCAAUAUUAGUAGACUUUUCAUUUAGAUUCUAACUCUCAGUUACGGUUUUUACCAGAAUCAGUUUGAAGUUCUAAAUGAUUAAUUGAACCAAACAUGAAUUUUUAUAUCCAAAAUGUUGAAAUUGGGCAUUUUGAGAAUUUCUUAAAUAGGCUUUGGAAAUUAUCAAUUUGUGAAAAAGGACUAUUUGCAACAGACCUUUUUCUUUUCAAAGCACAGCCAUUUCCUAAAGAAAAAAUAUUUUGUGCAAAAAACUCCCAGCCCCCCAUAAUGAUGAAGUAAGCAAUACAUGUUUUAAUUACCUUGCUGUUUACUUUCUCUGUAGUUUCCCAGACUUUAAGGAAACUAUUAAAGCAAGGGUAGAGAGGAUUGUCUGUUCUGCUCGCACUCAUAAAACUCAAAUAUUGUGGUCUGGUCCGAUGUCAGCCUGGUUCAGAUGUUCUCCUGCCUGCCGUGCUCGAGGCUCUGUUCAUGACCAGAGGCACAUACGAGGCAUUAACAUAUCAGUAUCACACAUAGGCUGCACCGUGUGCUGGAGGGGCUCGGAGGGGAAGAAAGGAUCGUUCACUAGCUGCAUUUCUCCAAUCCACAUGCUUGACUGUCACUGUAGAUGGGAAAAUCCAGUGAAAUUUGGUCAGUUC